CCUGGCUCACACCGGUUUAAACUCAGAUCAUGUAAAAUUUUAAAGGUCGAACAGACCUAAUUUGUCAGCCUCUUCACCAACAAUAUAUUUUAAUCCAACAUCGAGGUCGCAAUCUUUUUCUUCGAUAAGAACUCUAAAAAAAAUUACGCUGUUAUCCCUAAGGUAAUUUAAUCUUUUAAUCUCAAUUUAAGGAUCAUUCAUUCAUAAACUAAUGGUUAAACAGAAAAAAAGUUGAUCUAAUUUUUUUAUCACCCCAACAAAAUACUUUUUAUAUUAAAAUAAAUCUAAAUCUAAACUCUAAAUCAACUUAAAAAUAUUAAACUCUAUAGGGUCUUCUCGUCUUCUAUAACUAUUUAAGCUUUUUAACUUAAAAAUAAAAUUCUAAUUAAUUUUUACAGAGACAGCUAUUUUCUCAUCAAACCUUUCAUUCCAGCUUUCAAUUAAAAAACUAAUGAUUAUGCUACCUUUGCACGGUUAAUAUACCGCGGCCAUUAAACCUCUCAUUGGGCAGGUCAAACUUAAAAUUAUUUUCGAUAAGAC
rnacentral:rRNA from 1 species